GUUUUAAUAAUUUAAGCUAAAAUAUUGAUUUUGUAAAUCAAAAAUAAGAUCCUACUUUUAAAACU
rnacentral:tRNA from 1 species